UGCCUACUUUGCCCCUCUCCCCCUUAUCCUUCACAUCUUUCUUCCCAGUAAAUCUAUUACCUAUAUAAUUUUAUCUGCUUCUUGGAACCUGAACUAAGAUGCUUCCUAGAAAGAAGUAAUUAUGAUACCAACAUUAAGAUUAUUUUUCUUCAUUCUGCUACACAGGUAUGAUCCUAGAAUCUCUUCGCUGAUGUUGGCUCAUGAACCCCCUCCAGAAUUUCCUGGGUGAAAUCUGAAACUACCUGCCAUGUGCUGAGGGCAGAGAGAGACUGAAGAAAAAGGUCGACCACUCUUGAUUGGUGGACCAUACACAGCCAUUUCUAUCCAAGAAGGAGUAACUGGUACAGAAUUGCCCUGCCACCGUAAACAGCUAGAAAACUGGACAACACAUGUGAAACGACUGUUUUCAGACAUUGGGGUCACAGUGUACUCAAGACUGUGGUUCCAAGAGAAGAGAAAAAAUUGAAAUGAGUCCUCAAUUUUCUGUCUGGAAGCGAGGAGUUGGAGAUACAUGAGUAGUGCUGAGGCAAAUGAAAAGGAAUGGGCAUGAUGAAUGUUCCAAGAAGAGAAGACACCAUGAUUGAAAGGCCAGAAAUCACUGAAAAUGUGGUGUGUUGGAGAAACCAAUAGAACUUCCAUGCUAUAUGAUGCUAAAAUGGAAGCUUUGAC